UUUGUUGCUCUCUAAGCCAGCUAAGGGUGUGGACAAGAGCUUCUCCCUUCUUUCCCUUCUUGACAAGAUCCUUCCCAUCUACAAGUAAAGAACUGUUGAUUUACGUCUGUACUUUGAGUUUUGCCCAUUAACGACUAUCUCUUCUCAUUUUUAUUAAUAAUCGACCACUUUUCAGGGAGGUUGUGUCAGAUCUUAAGGCAGCUGGUGCUUCUUGGAUUCAGUUUGAUGAGCCUACAUUGGUGAAGGAUCUUGAUUCUGACAAAUUGAAGGCCUUCUCUGAUGCAUAUGCUCAACUAGAAUCAACUCUCUCUGGGUUGAAUGUUCUUGUUGAGACAUAUUUUGCUGAUAUCCCUGCUGAAGCAUACAAGACCUUGACUUCUUUGAAGGGUGUCACUGCCUAUGGAUUUG
rnacentral:lncRNA from 1 species